CCAUGUUACAAGCUAUCGGGUGCUCAACUUUGAUUCUUUCCUCAAAGGCUGAAAUAGAGUGGUAUAAAUAUUUGCAAACUCAGAUAGCCCCUAGCUAGUCCACCCACAGGCAUUCUGCACACAAACACAAUAGCAUCAUUACAUCGGAGGGAGCAACAAAAGCUUUCUGCCAGCAAUGGCGGAGCUUUUGGGCAUGAUUGCGAGUGCCGCGGGUGAAACAACUGGCUAGCAAGCUUGGCGAGGUUGUGAAUGAGGAGAUCGCUCUGCUGUGGGGGUUCCAGGACGAAGUGGAAGGCUUGGAGGAGAAAAUGAAAGAUUUAGAGGCCGUGAUGCAUGAUGCUGACGAUAGGCUGCGCCGAGGAGAAAGAGAUGGGGAGUCAGUUGGGCGGAAGUGAUGCAUGAUCCACCACCACGAGCUCUAGUUCAUCUGUUGAUGAUCGAAAUGUAGGUCUGAUCUAGAGGCAACAACCAGUGGAGGAGCCCUGAACAAGCCCACAUAUUUCUGAAAAUCUAGUCAUAUUUGCUAACUUCCACAUCUUCAAUUGCAGCUGCAUUGCGAGGAAGUUUUACUCAUUGUUGGAGAGGGUAGGAUGCGGUUGAAGAGUGAAACCGGUAAUAGCAGAGCAUGGAGAGGCAAGUUAAAUUUCUGCAGGCAUUAGCACCUGCAAAGUUGUGAUGAGGAAGGAAGGAACCUUGCGGGAGAAAGUUCCAGAACAUCCACGCUUUUCUCUG